GAGAGAGAGGUGGUGUUAAAUGGAAUUUCCAGUUGAAAAAUAUGUCCAGUCAGUAACUUAACCACUGAUUUGGACGGCCACUUAACGGAUGGACCUAAUUGUGUGACAUUGGAUAGUUAAUGGAGUAAUCGAUUGAAAUUGAAAGUUAAUGGAGUAAACUGUCGAGCGCAUGAAAGUUAAUGGAGUGACCAGUAAUUAAUUCAUAAUUUUAUCAUGCAACAAGAUGAAAUAAAUUAUUCUGGAGAUAACAAAAUCCCCAAAUUAUUUUAUGGAACUGAAGAUAUAGAAGAGGUAAUGGUUCUUCAAAAUAAAGAACCUAAUGAAGAAAAAUAUAACAAUAUUGUGGAAAUUUUGGAUUACUGGAAAACUAUCUAUAAAGAUCCAGAAGCAACAAUGGAGAAAAGAAACCAUAUUCUAUAUCAAAUAAGAUUAACCUAUUUAAAAUAUGAAGAUCUGUUUUCUUAUUUUAAUUAUGAUAUUAAUAUGUUAUCUAGAUGAUGAAUCAACAUCUUCAGAAUCUAAUGAAGAUGACAAUGAAAUAAAUGCUUUAAG
rnacentral:lncRNA from 1 species